AUACGGAGGGGGUUAGCGUUGUUCGGAAUUACUGGGCGUAAAGCGCACGUAGGCGGACUGGAAAGUUGGGGGUGAAAUCCCGGGGCUCAACCCCGGAACUGCCUCCAAAACUUCCAAUCUAGAGAUCGAGAGGGGUGAGUGGAAUUCCAAGUGUAGAGGUGAAAUUCGUAGAUAUUUGGGGGAACACCAGUGGCGAAGGCGGCUCACUGGCUCGAUACUGACGCUGAGGUGCGAAAGCGUGGGGAGCAAACAGGAUUAGAAACCCUAGUAGUCC
rnacentral:rRNA from 1 species